CACCCGCUCCCCGCUGCACCCACACCCUGGCACCUCCCCGCAGACCCUCAUCGGACCCAAGGACAGUCCCAGGAGACGUGGGGGCGCUCGCCCCUUUCGUGGAGGGGAAACUGAGGCAGGCGGGUGAAGGUCGGCUCACAUACGGAGCGCAGGCAUCACCCUAUGUUCCAGUUGAGCCACUGAGGCUCAGGGAGGACAGAGGAGAAGGAUCUUGCCCCAGUCACAGGAGGAAUCACAGGCAGAAAGGGGGAGAUGGAAAGAGAUGAGAAAAGGAGGCACAGAGAGGCUAAAUAACUUGCCUGAGAUGACACAGAAGCAGAGGAGCUGAACGGUGGACCCAGGCAGGCCAGCUCUGCAGCCCCUGCUCUUGGCCACCAUGGGCUCCUCCUCUGGGCUAACCCAGCCAUUGCCAGAAUCCUACAUGGAAAGUAUUAUCAUCCCAUUGACUAGAAGAGGAAACGGAGGCACAGAGGGGCCCCAGGCUGGCAGAAUUAGUAACUGGGGUUGGGGGGAGCUGGGAUUAGACCCAGGUCUGAAAGCCAGCCCUUCCCUCUACCCUUCCUAUUUGCCAAACACCUGGGCCCCAUCCUGCCCAAGGUCAGCAGCCCAGGUGGCAGGAUGUGCUUCUGCCUGGUGCUGGCCUUGGGGAGCACUUGUUUUUCCCUGGAGGAAGCAGCAGGUGUGGCCUUCUUUUUGGAAAUGAUCCUGACUGGGUUGGGGCCAGGACUCCCACACACACACACAUAGGCCAGGAGGACUUAAAUAGGACUAGGUCAGAGCUUCUAGGCUUGGGUGUAGGGGCUGGAAUUUGGGAGAGGGACUCAGAGGUCAGUCCCAUUUUGGUAAGCCUCUCGCCCUCUGGACUCCAUAUCUCCUGCUAAUUGCACUCCUUGGAUGAGACAGUGACAUGGAAGUGCCUCCCAGCUCAGCCCUGGGGAGACCUCUCCAAGGACAGUUAAGGAAGCUGGGGGGAUGUCCCUACCCUUCUUUCUGGAGCAGAGCCCUGGGACCUUCUGGAGUCCCAGUCGGGCUGGGGUCUACAGGCAGUAAGACUCCAAGUGACUUCUCUGUCUGCCCCUCGUGCUGAUAAAAGUUUCCAUUCAAGGAAGAGCUGCCUUAGGGCUGCCAAGUUAUCCUGAUUCUGUCAUUGUAGCAUCAAGGUGGGGGCCUUGGGCCUUCCCAGCCUCUUCAAGGGGGCAUUCUUGGGUGGGAUGUGGUUCCUAACUGGUGUCACCACCUAAAAGGCCAAUAUCCCAAGACCCAGAAUUCCCAAGUUGGACUCAGGGACUGGCGAGACCACCCUGAUUCCUUCUGCCAGGGUCCUUUGAGAGCCGCCCAUCCUGCCCGUGAGUGCUCCUGCUUAGUGAGUCAGACCCUUGCAUUAGGCCCCGGGGGAGGAAGAGAAACAGGCCUCAGAAAACACUUAGAGGGGCAGGGAAGGGCUUGGAAGAAACCUGGCUCAGAAGAUGGUACCCUCCCCUCACAUCUUCCCAGACUUGAAGGGGCAUCUAACUUCUGAGCUCCCCACAGCCCCAGCCUCCUGGCUGUCUCUCCUAGCUGCUGAAAUAAAAGCCAGUCCCUUUUAUCACCUUUGUUAUGUGACCCUGCCUGCUGGUUGGGCCUCAUCGCUUGCCCCUAGUUCUUUGCUUUCAGUGCCACACCAGCCCUCUUGACUGUUCUUGAAUCCAUCAUGAUUCUUUCUACCCCAGGGACCUUGCACUAGCCAGCAUCUUGCUGUGCUUCCUCCCAUCUCACUUGGCUAAUAUGGGAGAGGCAUUUUCUUUACACAUCCAGAGAAAAUAGAGCCUGGUACCUUCCAAGACUGAGAAGGUUGGAAGAAACUUUUUGUACUGUAGCUUGAGGGUGGGAAGGAGAAGACACAAUUUGAGCAUAGGAAGGUGAGCAGGAGGCCGGGCAUGGUGGCUUACGCCUGCAAUCCCAAUGUUAGAAAUGCUUGUUCCCCAUGCUGCAAAGAAAUAGCACUCAAACAUAAAUUUAAUUUUCUCAGCAAGGCAAUUUUUACUUUCUGCAGAAAGCGUGCUCCUCACAGAUGGAACAAUGGUGAGAGCACACUUGAACAAGGGAGGGGAAGGGGUUCUUAUGCCUGACCCAGGUAAUCCCUGCUGCUGUGUUGUUUCCCUAUUGGCUAGGGUUGGACCGCACAGUCUAAGCUAAUUCUGAUUGGUUGUUUUAAAGAGAGCAGGUGUAUGAGCCAGAGUGGCGAGGUGAGUAGUUUGGCAGGAAGGACAGUUAGGAACAGGUAACUAAAGGUGACUUACAUCACAGCAGGUGACGAGGGGUGACUCAGGUCAAAGCAGGUGACCAAGAUGAGUCAGGAUGGAGCAAGUGGCCAGGGGAACAGGUGUGAACUACUGAAUAAAACUGGUGGAAAAGGUUGUUUACUGAAAUUAGAAGUAAGGGGGCAAAGAGAACCAGGAAGUUAAACUUUAAAAUGGAGAAUCAAAGAAUAAGAGAGCUGAACAUACUGACAUACUGAUUCUUUGAAGAGAAACUUGGGGUUCACUAUAUUUAACACAAGCACUUUGGGAGGUUGAGGCAGGUGGAUCACUGGAGGUCAGGAGUUCGAGACCAGCCUGGCCAACAUGGUGAAACCCCGUCUCUACUAAAAAUACGAAAUUUAGCUAGGUGUGGUGGCAGGUGCCUACAAUCCUAAAUACUUGAGAGGCUGAGGCAAGAGAAUUGCUUGAACUUGGGAAGCAGAGGUUUCAGUGAGCUGGGAUUGUGCCACUGCAUGCCAGCCUGGGUGGCAUAGAGCCUGGGUCACAUAUAGCCUGGGUCACAGAGAGACUGUCUCAAAAAAAAAAAACAAAAAGGUGAGCUGGAAAUAGGCUCAGGCUCAUGAGCAGUUUAUCUUCUGGAAUAAAGUCAUUUGCCUUUUUAGAGGCUCUGUCUUCCUCCAUUUCUGCCAGAAACCAGACCUCUGAGGGCCCCUUCCCCUCCUGCCAUCCUCAGGAUCUGAAGCCCUGGUCCUCCCUCACUUCCUGUCCAGCACUGGAACCCCAUGGGACAGCGAGUGUGUGACAGCUCCUGCAGGAAGCUGGUCAGACGAGGAGAGUGCUGGGUUAAAGGGGAUAAAUUUGAAAGGUAUCCAGGGACCUGAUCAGGGAGGACCCUGAGUCGCAAGGAGAGAAGUUUCGAUUACUUCCUCCAGUCACCAUGGAGCUUGGAGGGUUUGGGGGCAGCUGCCUUGGAAGGGCUGAAAAGAGGUGGACGGCACUGGUGAAACGCAUCCCUUCCCCCUCCCUCUACCCACCAGCCACAGAAGAAGGACUCUCCAGCUCUUGG